UACAGAGGGUGCGUAACGUUGUUCGGAAUCACUGGGCGUAAAGCGCACGUAGGCGGAUUGCUAAGUCAGGGGUGAAAUCCUGGAGCUCAACGUCCAGAACUGCCUUUGAUACUGGCGAUCUCGAGUCCGGGAGAGGUGGAGUGGAACUGCGAGUGUAGAGGUCGAAAUUCGUAGAUAUUACGCAAGAACACCAGUGGCGGAAGGCGGACUCACUGGCCCGAGUACUGACGCUGAGGCACGAAAGCGUGGGGAGCAA
rnacentral:rRNA from 1 species